UGGAUCGCAAAUUCAAAAGAGGGCAGGAGUGUGGUUAUAAAUUUCUCAGAAGAGGCCUUCCCCAACCAAACCCGGGCCAGGUUAGAAGAGCUUCCUGCUCGCUGCCUUUGAAGGUCCAAUCCAGAAACAGCUAUCAACAGAUUCUCACAUCAACCAGUAAGUAACCGUCAAGUCAGUGCUUUUCAUCAAGUCUAAUGCACAACUGACUGCAAAAUGCACCAAUAUUUUAUAUUCCACUAAGAAACAAAGAAGAGGAACUGAACUAUCAAUUAUAUCAUGAUAUGCCAUUGAUCCUGAUUCCAAAGGAGAUGUUAAAAUGUGAUAAGUGAGGGAAAGGUGUAUUUUGCAAUCUAUAGAAUAUGGUAACACUAAGA